CAUGCAAGUCGAGCGAGAAGCUAACUUCGGUUAGUGGACAGCGGCGCACGGGUGAGUAACGCGUGGGAAUUUACCUUUCGGCGGGGGACAACAGUUGGAAACGACUGCUAAUACCGCAUACGCCCUACGGGGGAAAGAUUUAUCACCGAAAGAUAGGCCCGCGUUAGAUUAGGUAGUUGGUAGGGUCAAAGCCUACCAAGCCGACGAUCUAUAGCUGGUUUGAGAGAACGAUCAGCCACACUGGAACUGAGACACGGUCCAGACUCCUACGGGAGGCAGCAGUGGGGAAUCUUGCACAAUGGGCGAAAGCCUGAUGCAGCCAUGCCGUGUGAGUGAGAAGGCCUUCGGGUUGUAAAACUCUUUUAGAUGUGAAGAUGAUGACGGUAACAUCAGAAAAAGCACCGGCUAACUUCGUGCCAGCAGCCGCGGUAAUACGAAGGGUGCUAGCGUUGUUCGGAAUUACUGGGCGUAAAGAGCGUGUAGGCGGCUUAGCAAGUUAGAGGUGAAAUCCCAGGGCUCAACCCUGGAACUGCCUUUGAUACUGCUAGGCUUGAGAUCGUGAGGGGAUAGCGGAAUACCCAGUGUAGAGGUGAAAUUCGU
rnacentral:rRNA from 1 species